rnacentral:rRNA from 1 species
GACGAACGCUGGCGGCGUGCUUAACACAUGCAAGUCGAACGGAAAGGCCCUGCUUUUGUGGGGUGCUCGAGUGGCGCACGGGUGAGUAACACGUGAGUAACCUGCCCUUGACUUUGGGAUAACUUCAGGAAACUGGGGCUAAUACCGGAUAGGAGCUCCUGCUGCAUGGUGGGGGUUGGAAAGUUUCGGCGGUUGGGGAUGGACUCGCGGCUUAGCAGCUUGUUGGUGGGGUAGUGGCUUACCAAGGCUUUGACGGGUAGCCGGCCUGAGAGGGUGACCGGCCACAUUGGGACGGAGAUACGGCGCAGACUCCUAGGGGAGGCAGCCGUGGGGAAUAUUGCCCUAUGGGCGGAAGCCUGAUGCAGCAACGCCGCGUGCGGGAUGAUGGCCUUCGUGCUGUAAACCGCUUUCGCCUGUGACGAAGCGUGAGUGACGGUAAUGGGUAAAGAAGCACCGGCUAACUACGUG